rnacentral:rRNA from 1 species
AUUGAACGCUGGCGGCAGGCCUAACACAUGCAAGUCGAACGAGUGGCGGACGGGUGAGUAAUGUCUGGGAAACUGCCCGAUGGAGGGGGAUAAAUACUGGAAACGGUAGCUAAUACCGCAUACCAUCGGAGGUGCCCAGAGGGGAUUAGCUUGUGGGUGUGGUAACGGCUCACCUAGGCGACGAUCCCUAGCUGGUCUGAGAGGAUGACCAGCCACACUGGAACUGAGACACGGUCCAGACUCCUACGGGAGGCAGCAGUGGGGAAUAUUGCACAAUGGGCGCAAGCCUGAUACAGCCAUGCCGCGUGUGUGAAGAAGGCCUUCGGGUUGUAAAGUACUUUCAGCGGGGAGGCGUUACCCGCAGAAGAAGCACCGGCUAACUCCGUGCCAGCCGCCGCGGUAAUAC